rnacentral:tRNA from 1 species
GCCCGAUUAGUUCAGCUGGAUAGAAUGUCUGCCUACGGAGCAGAUGGUCGUAGGUUCGAAUCCUGCAUCAGGUA